AUCCAAUAACUUUUGCAGUAUUAUCUUUUACUUAUGAAACUAUGUAUGUUUGUGUUGAUUUUUUUUUUUCAUUGCCUUUUUCUUGUAAUCUUCUUUGUAAGUUAAGAGAUUUCAUGUAACAUACAUUAAGAUGUGAGACUGGUAUGGUGAGUGUGUUUCCUGCCCUCAUAUGUUUGCAUGAUCAAUGUUCUCUUUUCAUUGAUUGGCUUACACUAUUGUAAUGUAUGAUCUAGGUUCUAGUUGUUGGUGGUGGUGAUGGUGGUGUUCUUAGGGAGAUUUCUCGUCACGACUCUGUUGAGCUUAUUGAUAUAUGUGAGAUUGAUAAGAUGGUUAUAGAUGUAAGUAGUUAUUUAUACAUCUUUUCUUGUAAUAUGCUAUUGCGUAGGUUUUCCUUAACUGUUGUGAUAAUUUCUUUUAAUGUAGGUUUCUAAAAAGUAUUUUCCUGAGCUAGCUGUUGGUUUUGAGGAUCCUCGUGUACGACUGCACAUUGGUGAUGGUAUGCAUGAACAAUAUACUUGUCCCAUAUCUACAGUUCUAAUACUCAUUUAUGGAUUUCUGUAGAAUUGAAGUACAUGUCUGGUUGUCGAUCCCAUGUUCAUUGUGUUUGCAGCUGUUGAAUUCCUACGGCAAGUGCCCAGAGGGAAAUAUGAUGCAAUUAUUGUUGAUUCAUCAGACCCUGUAGGUGUGUCUGCAUUAUCUGCUCUAUUAUGGUUCAAUUUUCUCUGUAAUGUUUAGAUAUCACCAAAGUCCAGCGUUAAGCCAUUUUCAUGUUUAUUUUUCCUUGGGACUGCAUUGGCAAAGGAUAUUUAUAUUUCCUCUGAAUAUGCAGCCCGGUAGGUUAAUAUUAAAUAUUUAUAUCGUACUCAGCUGACUUCUGUUAACUUGAAAGUUGAUUAUAGUUGCAUUUUUCCCUUCCUGAUUUAGGUCCUGCUCAAGAGCUUGUAGAGAAGCCAUUUUUUGACACAAUUGCUAAAGCAUUAAGGCCUGGAGGUGUCCUCUGUAACAUGGCAGAAAGUAUGUGGCUUCAUACUCACCUUAUUGAGGACAUGAUUUCUAUUUGUCGUGAAACAUUUAAGGGUUCUGUACAUUAUGCUUGGGCAAGUGUCCCAACAUACCCAAGGUAAUGUUGUGCUCGGUUCUAUUGAUAUCUGUAGUUCUUCUAUUAAUCUCUCGAUAAUCAAUUUUUUGAAGUUUGACAGCUUCAGAAACAUCUCUACUAGUUCAAUACUAAUCUUAAUAUUAGGGAUCAUUUUUAUCAUUGAGUUGAAACUUUGAAUUUUCUACCUAGUGAUGUUUUGAGAAGUGGGAAGUUUGUUGUUUAUGCUUUAGAUAGCAUUAGUCCAGACACAAGAUUUGAUUAUCGAAUUGAAUGUAUGCCGUUAAAUCUUUUUUUGUUCUUUUCUUGGUUACAGUGGUAUCAUUGGGUUUCUGAUAUGCUCAACAGAGGGACCUCAUGUUGAUUUUGUGAACCCCAUUAAUCCUAUUGAGAAGUUGGAGGGAGCUGACAAGCAUAAAAGAGAACUAAGGUUCUAUAACUCGGAGGUAAACGAGGCUCCUCAUUUCAAGCGUAGCUUUCCUUGGUCAUUGCUUCUCGACUCCUUUUCUUAGAUAAACUAAAUGCUUGUAUGGCUGUAUUAACAUUGAGUUAAUAUUUUGGUAGUAUUAGAUGUGAAAGUAUGAUGGGUUGCAUUUAAUAUUCGUGUUGUGUUGACAGAUUCACUCAGCUGCCUUUGCAUUGCCUGCAUUUUUGAAGAGGGAGGUGAGCGUACUUGGUGAUUCUCCAACUCCAAGUCAACGAAUAUGCGUCUCCUAAUGAUUCAUACCAAUCGUCACAUGAUUUCUUGACGAGCGAGAUUUACUGCUUCCCGUGUUAUAGUUUAUAGGGUGAUUAUGAUAUAUGUAGACCAGGGGUUACGCCUUGACCUUGACCUUCGAUACUUUGUUGAUGAUUUAAUUCUAGCAAUGUCUGAUGGGUCUCAUUUGACAUAAGGAUGGCAAUGGGGAGGGGAGGGGAGGGGACCAAUCUCCCCAUACCCAUCCCCGAUGUUUUGCAUAUGUCCCCGUCCCCUCCCCGUCCCCGUCAAAAUUGCUUGAGAGAAUCCCCAUCCCCUCCCCGAAUAAUAACAGGGGAUCCCCGAGGGUCCCCGGUCCCCGAAUAAUUAAUAGUCUAAUACAUUUUUUAUUUUCGAUUUUAAAUUAAUCAUAUUAAAAUAAACUCAUACCGCUAUUGUAAGCUCGUAACCAACUUUGACAGCACAUUAAGGCCUCCAAUGUGCUUGGAUGAAGUUUGUUAUGGUAUGAGCUCACAACUCUACCACUAGUGUUAAAAGCUGAUUCAGAAGCAACUGUUGUAAUUGGAAUUGCCAAAAUAUCUCUAGCAAUUCGAGCUAAUGUAGGAUACCUAUUAGCAUUUGUCUUCCACCAACUCAAAAUAUUAAAAUCUUCCAUCCGAGAUAUAACUUUCUCAUCCAAAUAGGAAUCUAAUUCAUCUGCAACAACUGCACAAUCUCCAUUGUUUACAUAAUCAUUAAAACCUGUCAUCCAUUUGGUUGCUUUCUUAUAAGAAUCCCCUGUAGAUCUAGUAGAAGAACUACUACCAGUAUAAUCAAAGCAAUAAACAGUUGAUGAAAACUUCAAUUAAUACUCUUCAACUAAUUCCCGGCAAAGGGUGACCACUUUCCCAACAUACAACUAUUUUGAUAUUUAUUAUUUUUAACAAUAUUUAUAAUUUUGUUAUUUAUUUAUUAGUAAUUUUAAAAAUAAAAAUAAAAUUAAAAAUUAAAAUGGGGAAAUGGGUAGGGCUGCUGUACCGUAAGGAUUUUUGCCAUCCCUAAUUUGACAAUUAAUAACACAUGACCACUUAUUUUAAUAGCUUACUUUUAAACUCGAUGAAAGUCAUAUGAUUAUGGGUGAAUUUAGAUUUUAUUUUAUUAUAGUAGUUUUGCUAGUGGCCAUCUCAGCACUGGCUCGAUUAACGAAAUUUUCAACGAGCUCAUCCUCAAAAACCAUUAUAAUAUGGAAUAAAUAUUAAAAUCAGGGACGCAUUAUAUUCAAAUUAGUGUGAUUUUAAAAUGGAACAAAAUGAAAUGUCGGUGGAAACGUGAAAACUUUGUUCCAUACUGCAAUCCGAACUUGAAAUUAGUAUAUAAAAAUAUAUAUAAUUAACACUGUAGGGGAGUUUUGCUAGCUUUAUUUAUACACAUCAACUGUUCCAGGCAUCGAUUUCUAAUAUCUCACUCAAAAUACUCUCGUCCAAAUUUAUUCUUGAGAUAGGUCCUUAAUUAAGAUCACGAACAAGGCUUAAAAUACUAAAGUUGCUGCACCAGAUCUGAAUGCCCAAAAUAUUAUUGUAGAUGGCGAUGGUGGCGUUCAUUGCGCGGACGCUUGUGCAUUCUUUCUAGUUUGUCGGAAUACUUGUAUGCAGCGGGCUGCAUUGUUUUGCUUAAUGAUCAAUAUCCAAAAGCACCUGCUUCAAAUAAUCUGCCAUAAGAAGAAAUGCUUCAACUUUUGUAAGUGCUUGAAUUGUUUUAGUUGAUAGAGGGAGGUUGGAGGAGUCGCGGUCAGCCUUCGCCCAAGCAAUGAGUUCUUCUCCAGAAAAGUCACCAUCUUCCAGAUGGUUGUUCGGGUUACCAGAAUUGCUUGAGGAUCCAGCUAUGCUCCUGGAAGUGUAGGUCCAUAACUUGUCAUGCAGCACGAAGAGCAUUUGAUCAAUUGGGUUUCCCUCCUGGAGAAUGUAAGAGCGCUCUGUGAAGACGACUGGCUUCACAACAUCACACAGUGUCUCCAACGAUGAAUGACUCCAGUUUCCAAACUCUUCUACCUAUACAAACAUACAUCCAAUAUCGUUACUAUAAUCUAAAAGGCAUGAUGCUGAUAAUGAAAUUCAGCUUCUGAAUGAAGAAAAUUGAAAAUAAAAUGUGAUCUAGAACUAUCUCAGCUGAAAUGAGAUUCAUUCCCUAACACUAAAACAUAUCAGGUUUGAGUUCACGUUGAGGUGAUGUGGACUUUAGCGAUUGCGCUUUCAAAACUAUGCAAAAUAUUUUUAUUAGUUCUCCUUUGUCAAUUUCACAAAUUAACGAAUAGCAGACACAAAUAUAGUUGUAAAGAUUUCUCACUCACUUUUUUUAGCAAGUCUAAGCAGAGCUUCUGUUUUAUGUUAUUUCUGAGGUGCCUUGGAAGAUGAUUCACCAUAUACUCUACGUCAACACCCGUGGUUUGCAAUUUCGAUUUCUGAUAUUCCUUGAUCUCCUUUUGGAGUUUCUUAGGGAGCUUUCCAAAGGGCAGCCACCGGUCUAUUUCUCGUACCUUCUGUCUUAUCUCAUAUACUUUUGACGUUUCAGACUGCACAUUGCCCAAGAAUCAUGGUUCAUAGAAAAGUAAAAUUUAUUGCGCUUCCUCUUAAUCAAGAUGCCGGAUGUCUCCUGACCUUCUUUUGGAGUUCCUUAGGGAGCUUUCUAAAGGGCGGCCACUGGUAUAUUUCUUGUACCUUCUGUCUUAUCUCCUCUGCUUUUGACAUUUCAUACUGCACAUUGCGCGAGAAUAAUGGUUUAUGGAAAAUUAAAAUUUAUUGCGCUUCAUCUCAAUCAAGCAUAAAGAACCAAUUUUAAGAGACAAGAAUCAGACGAGAAAAAAAUAAAAUAACAUAAAAUAAAGAUACACCAACCUGGACCUUUCCAAUCAAGAAGAAAAACAGCCUUACUCCAGUGAUGGUAAUUGAAAUCACAAAGAUGUUUUCCCAGACAUUAGUACUGAAUGGGAGACCUUGUCCAAAAGAACUGCGGAAGUCAAACCCGUAAAUUUAUUAGAAAUUUAGAACCAAUGUUUUUGAGUUUAAUUGCUAAAAAAACAUAAAAAUACGUAUGCGUAAUUAUAUGCACCAAAAACAUAGAAAGGCAUAUGCACAAAGAUUGUUACAAGGAGAAUGAUGUAUAUCCACAACUUAACCUGAGAUUUUGCAGGCUCCAUCGAAUACAAGGGAACAACCUCAGAAAUAAAUUGUUUUGCUCAAUAACACCAGAAUUAAUAGCAUCAAAGAAUAUCCCAAAAUCAUAGAUAGUUGCAUUUUGAGUCUUUGUAGAGCAAAAAUCAUUAGAAAAUGUGUAGUUUGUUAAACUGUUGUCACAGUGCAAAGGAAGGAGACGGCAUUUGGUAGAACCUGUGCAGGCUUUCCUCCAACAUUCGGUCUUUCUUUGUAGAGCAAAAAAGUACCAUAAUGCUCCAAACCCCUAAACAACCAUCAAGUAGAUCAUCAGGAAUUAUAAAUUACCCAAAAAAGAGUAAAGAGAAAUAGAAUAUAUUGGAGACUUGGGAGGCAAGUAAACUUACAUUAGCAGCAUGUAGGUAAAAGAGAUUGAACGUAAGUCUGGCCCAUUUAGUAUGCUUAUAUGAAUUCUUCCUUUUUUUAAUCAAUGCAUACAAUCGCUUAACCUUUAGCAAAUGUUGGACGAUAAACAGGUUCAUCACAUGGAAAAAUUGCUGGACAUUCAUUAGUCGAUUAUAAACUAGAAGCACCAACACCUGAACAGUUUGUACACCAUAAAGAUAGAAUUAUCAAUUAUGAAAUAUGAUUCCAUAUGAAAAGGAAAAAAAAAAAUACAACCUAUGCGUGCUUGCUAGGAAUCCAACAUAAAUUGGUUUGGGCGCCCAUAGGUGUGCGCGCGUGCCCUUGCUUGGCUAAUUGGAACAAAUAAGUAAAAAGUACGACAGAACAAACAUUUACCUGUGGGAGUGGAAGAAUGAUGGCGAGAUCAGAGAUCAAAUAGGAAGACGGGCAACCGAGAUAUGCUACAAUUUCGACGCCAAUUCUCCCAUAUUGGUAAAGCUCUAAUUAUCAAAAAAGGUGUAUCAUAUACCGUGCGUUCAAGAAUACCAAACGUCAUAACAUCUUUGUCAAAUUGGAAGCACUUUUUGUCAUCGUUGGUCACAGGAAGGUACAAGAAAACAGGAUCAAAUACCAUGGAAUACACAUAAAUCAGCCAAAAAUUAGCUUCCAGGAAACGUCUCGACAGAUUACGAAUCUGCCGAAGAGAUGUUUUUACUCCAUUACCCAAGCUUUCGAUCACAGUGAGGAAAGCAGAUACUGUUGCUUCUCUCUCGCUCCUACUGAUGCUGUCCAUUUCAACACCAGCAACCAGUCUCGGCGUUCCUUCCUCUAAAUUCGAGUGCUGAGACCUGAAAAAAAUAAAAUCAACUUCAUCGUCAUCACCAUAUACAAUAAUUGUAAUAACAUAUAGCCUGUACUUCAGCUCAGUAAGGCUCUAUACGUAUAUCGUCAAAUUAAUAAACAACUCGCUUAAGGCUUACAUAAUCAACCAAGGGGAAGGAAAAUUUAAAUAAAUGAAGCGAAGCUUAAUUUCAGUUUCCUUCAAUUAAAUACAGGUGAAUCCUUCACAAAUCAUCACUUCAGUGGCUGAGUCUUCGGAGUUCAGAGCAUGCUUAUCCUAUGCGCUAAUAAAUAUCUACGCACUGUGGUUCCUCAAGACAUUGACUUCUUACACAAUCAAUCAAACAACCAAAACAAAAAACAAAUUCCCAAUAAAUAUGUAAUUUGUGUAGCACCUUUUGACUGAGUUGGGGGCGCAGGCAACUAAUAGUUACGACUUGAGGUUAGAACUUAUCCAUUUGCACAUUCUCAAUCUACGGUUCAUUAACCAAAAUUUUGGCCCCGAGAGGCUGCAAGUCUUAUCAUGUCCCUCGUGUUUUUUGCUCACUAGUAGAAUUGAAUCUUUGUGCGUGUUAAGUAAAUACAAGCACCAGGUCGGUCAUGCUAUUAUUUCCACCCCGGCGUGGAUCACCUCAGCCUAUGGUACGAGCCGAACACAGGGACAAGCAUAAACCGACCAGAGGGGAACCCCUGACAAGCAUAAACCGACCAGAGGGGAACCCCUGCUAGGGGAAUGUACCGACCAGAGGUAUACACCGAGCCGAUACCUGUCCCCCAGAAAGCGGGAACACGAUCCCACAGAACCGCGGCCGUUACGCUGUUCCCAGAACACAGAAUCGCGGCCGUUACGCUGUUCCCAGAACACAGAAUCACGGCCGUUACGCUUUUCCCAGAACACAGAAUCGCGGCCGUUAUGCUUUUCACAGAACACAGAAUUGCGACCGUUACGCUUUUCCCAGAACCGUUGAAGGACACGUAAGUCCCCACGUUUGCGACAAUGCAACGGUUAGAGUCCCGUGAGGGGCUGCCACUACCCGAAAAAGGGGGGGAUGAAGGGCAAACGGAAAGGUGGGGACAGCGGCUAUAAAAGAAAAGGAACUCAACGGAGAAAAGGACAGAAAAAACGGAGAGAGGGAAAACGCUGCCAAAUUGCAACCAGACCAUUUUCCUACGAAUUUCAGAUAAACUUCUUGAACCCAAAUCACAUUGUUUUCCCGUAAACACCUUGAGCUAACUUAGGCAUCGGAGGGUUUACGCCGGCAAAACCACCGGCGUCUCUGAUCCGUUUUUAGUGAGCGCAGGUCUAUUGAGAGGAAGGGGGACGAUUCCAGUUCCAGUGAACGAGCAACAACAGAUAACACAAACGUUGGUGAAAGAAUCUGGUCGGUCAAAGGGCGAGCAGAUUUCAGCAUCAACACUUAUUGCUCAAGAUAAAUGUAAGCCUUACAAAUAUGAACUUGUUGAGAAUCCAAAUCCAAACUUGUGAACAAUGUCACGAUGCCCAUUACAAAUUUGAGCAAUAGUAGGAACAGUCCGGGCCUGCGUCCCAGGUCGCUUUAGAAAAUUUUUGAAGACCUCUGACCUUACUUCCUUUGAAUUUAUAAAAAUAUCCCAUUUGAGUGUUAAAAUUUUGAAAAUUUCAGUGCUUAUCUCUGGGAUACGAAUCCCCCAGCCCCAAUAAAAAAAAAAAAAUCCCAGGUCGCUUUAAAAAAAUUAAAUUUGUUAGUUUGGUUGGUGAGAGUAGUCGAAAAUAUUUAAUGAACUGCGAAUACUUGCGAAUGGAACUUCUUUCACAAUUUUUGAAUUUUGAACUGACUGCACCGCACGCAAGUUUCAAAAUUUUGGUAGAGACGCGAGUGAGGAGCGUGAUCCAAUCCAAUGAUGACAUGUCAUCAAUCAUAUGUUGGCGCGUGGUCAACCCUCUUCGCCUGAGCUGAUGCCAUGUUGGCAUGAAGAGGGCAAAGAGUUAAAGAAAUUUCCAAGUAAAGCAAUGCUAUUGGCUCUUGGCUAUUGGCCACAGUCUAGUUAAUCAGGAAAUUAGUCAAGCCUCAUAAAUGCAGUCAAUGGCAAGGUAAAAAAUAUCCGAAAUGAGUUGAAAUUGAUGGGUCGGUGAGUUUUUUUGACCGGUAGCUGUUUCUGCUUCGAUCAUUUAUUUAUUAUUGGACCUCUGUUUGUGCUCUCUCUAGUUUUGUAGGUUAUUUAUGCUUUUGGAUAUGUGAUGAGGUCAUCUGUCGGUUUAAAUUCAUGAACUUAGGAUGCAAUUCAAAUACAAAUUAAAAUUUAAGUAUCGAAAUUCUUAAUAUUAUUGAUAUCUUACUGUUGUUAUUAUUAUUUUUAUUAUAUUUAUGAAUUUUUCUGAGUUAUUCUGAUUGUAGUUUAUAACAAGAUUUUUUUCAAUAAGUAUGUGAAUAAAUUUUAUUUAUCCAUAAAUUACAUUAACUAUAAUUUUAAAAAAUCUUAUUAUUAUUACGACAAUCUCUAUUUUACAUAUAUGUAAAAUACAUAUUCUUCAUAUAAAUAAUACAUAUAUGGGAUCCACGUAUUAUUAUGAUAAUAAUAAUAGAACCUACAAAAAAAAAAAUUAAAUUACCAAUUUAACCCUAAAAAAUAAAAAAAUUAUAUUAAUUUUUAAUUUGUAAUUUUAUUUUUAGGGUAAAUUGGUAAUUUAAUUAUUUUCUUUUUAUUAAUGUCCAAAUAAAAAAAUAUUAUAAAAGGGUAACAUUAUAAAAGUAAGCUAAAAGAAAUAAAAAGUAACGGUAGGAGUAUCAAUACUUUAACGACAUGGACGUUUUGAGACAUUUUUUAAAAUAUAGGGACUAAAUGGAUACUAAUCUUAAAAUAUAAGGACUAAAUAAGCUUUUACCCUUUAUUUAUUCAUUUCAUGUACUGAAUAAAAUGGGUGGCUAACUUAUGGAUGGAUUAGUGUUCAUGUGGAUGUUGAUUUUUGUUUUGGCAUGCAUGAGUUAUCCUUUAAUAAUUUGAUGGUGCACAUGCUCGUCCAGUCUUAUAUUUAAAUUGUCAAAUGGUUCUGUUUCGGCAAUAUAAACUUGGCACUUACGUUUCGGAAAUUUUUGAAGAGUUUAUAAAAUUCUGUUGUUUGUUUAGGAAAAUAACUGUUUGAUGUUUUGGCAAUAUAACCAAGGUAAUGUUGCACUGAUAAUCAUUUUUUUUAAAGUUUGACAGCUUCAGAAACGAUAUUAAUCUCAAUUGUUUUUAUCAUUAAGUUCAAACUUUGAAUUUUCUACUUAAUGAUGUUUUGAGAAGUGGGAAAUUUGUUGUUUAUGCUUUAGAUUGCAUAAGUCCAGACACAAGAUUUGGUUAUGGAAUUGAAUGUAUCCUGUGAAAUCUUUUUACGAUUGAGGGUUCUUUUCUUGGUUACAGUGGUGUCAUUGGGUUUCUGAUAUGCUCAACAGAGGGACCUCAUGUUGAUUUUGCGAACCCCAUUAAUCCUAUUGAGAAGUUGGAUGGAGCUGACAAGCAUAAAAGAGAAUUAAGGUUCUAUAACUCAGAGGUAAAGGCUCCUCAUUUCAAGUCUAGCUUUCCUUGGUCGUUACUUCUUGAUUCUUUUUCUUAGAUAACCUAAAUGCUUGUGUGGUUGAAUUGUCAUUGAGUUAAUAUUUUGGUAGUGUUACUGUGUUAGAUGAGAAAGUAUGAUGGCCUGCAUUUAAUAUUUGUGUUGUGUUGACAGAUUCAAUUAUAUAGUUGCCUCCGCGUCGCUUGCAUUUUUGAAGAGGGAGGUGAGCGUACUUAGUGAUUCUCCAACUCCAAGCCAACGAAUCUGCGCGUCCUAAUGAUUCAUAGCAAUCAUCCCAUUUAUUUAUGAUUAGCGAGAUUUAGUGCUUCCCAUGUUAUAGUUUAUAGGAUGAUUAUGAUAUAUGUAGACGAGGGGUUACGCCUUGAGCUUGACCUUGGAGACUUUGUGGAUGAUCUGAUUCUAGCAAUGUAUCAUGGUUCUCAUUUGACAAUUAAUACUUAUUUUAUUAUAUUAAUAGCUUACUUUUAAACCUUCAUGAAAAUUAUAUGAUUAUGGUUCAAUUUAGAUUUUCUUUUAUUAUAAAAGUUUUGCCAGUGGCCCUCUUAGCCAUGGAUUGAUUAACAAAAUUUUCAACAAGGGCGUGAACUCGCUCAUCCUCAAAAACCAUUAUUGGAUGGAAUAAAUAUUAAAAUCAGGGACACGCUAAUUUAAUACAGCAGUGAUAUUCUUACAACAUUUAACACCACACACACUCACCACCAAACGGUGCGUUUUGAGCUAAAUAUUAAUUGUCCACACAUAUUACACACAACACGCGCUGCUCCCACCGCACAUGCUGCUCACAGAACACAGCUCAGAAAUUGACGUGUAGCCCGAAUCACCCAUAAGCUGAUUCUCCCUCUCUCACCCCUUCGUCGAUUGCAUCUCCCACAUCACUAAAAUAUAUCCCAGAUAUAUUUUGGUUGCAAUUUUGGUUUUGGUAACAAUCAGCAAAAGAUCAAGAUGUUCGCAUGCAACAUAUCAUGUGCCAGGUUAAGUGUUAAUCUUAAACGAUUGUUCAAGGGCUGAAUCCACGAAAUGUAGAAAAUCUUUAUAUUAACUGAUUCACUGGUACAAGAGCACUCUUCUUUUACUUCACUCAAAAUCAAUCUAAAUGCAAUUACUAAUCAAUUUAAACUCACUUGACAAUACAAAUCGAUUACAAAUGCAAAACUUGACCACGGAUGCAAUCACCACAAGCAAUACAAUUCCAGCUGAAUCUUCACAAAUUCAAGCCAUAAAUUUUUCAAAUUUUCGAGGUAAGAUUUGUGGAGAGACCCACGCCAGCUGUGAAGAGACCCACGGAAAGAGAGAGAAAGCCGACGGUGAGUGUUGUAUGGGUUUUGCUCGUUUGCUAUGCGAGCUGUGUGUGCGAGAGAGAGAGAGAGAGAGCCAACGGCCAGAUGUGGGGACACCCACGGCGAGAGAGAGGGAGAAAGUUGACGGAGAGCGCACAGAGCAGGGGAGGAGGAAAAUGAAACGGUUGCGUUUUGGUGUGGGUUUUGCUUGCUCGUUUGCUGUGCGAGUCUUGCGCGUGUGUAUUGAGGGGUAAUUUUUAAAAACCUCCCCUGAAGUUUGGGUUUAUUGCAAGUAGAUGGCGAGAAUCAGUUUAUUUAUAAAAAAUCCCCUACCGUCAGUUAAUUUUAACAUUGACCGUUAGUUGACUGUGCAAAGACAAUAUUACCCUUAACAAUAGUUUGUAGACUGACAUAAUUAAAAAAAAAACUAAAAUUGUUGGCGCAAAAAGCACAAACCUUAUUUUUUGACAAUUUUAUCCUUGUCAAUUCCAAAAAUUUACAAUAUCAUAGGUAAAGAUUAUAACUAUUUCAUUUUCAAGUUUUUAAUUUUAUCUUUCUUGUAGGAACUUUAAGGAAAUAUUAAUAAUUUAAAGAGGAUUUUUCAAGUUGUUAAUUUUAUCUUUUUUGUAGGAACUUUAAGAAAAUAUCAAUAAUUUAAAGAGGAUAAAAUAGCCAACAAUUUUGAUUUUUUUUUUUUAGUUAUUUUUGUCUACAAACUAUUGUUAAGAGUAAUAUUGUCUUUGCACAAUCAACUAACGGUCAAUAUUAAAAUUAACUGAUGGUAGGGAAUUUUUUACAAAUAAAUCAAUUCUCGCUAUCUACUUGCAACAAGCCCAAACCUCAGGAGAGGUUUUUAAAAAUUACCCGUGUAUUGAGCUGCCACAGAAACCUUUUUAUAGUUAGCAUAAAACGCACCAUUUUGUGCUAACUUUUGUACUAAAUGUUGUAAGAGUCUCAUUUUCCAAUUUAAUAUCAUCCGUUGUGUCUCUACUAGUUAUAAUUUCUAUUAUCUUUGUCAUCCAUAUUGCCUAAGAAUUUUCUCGUCUUUACUUAAUGCUGACAGAGCAAGCCAAGAUAAUAGUUUGGAAGUUCUCCUGAGAGUCAGCUCUGUGUGUGUGUACAUAAAUUUGAGCUUUUUAGAGAGCUUUGAGCUUUCAUACUGUUAUUAGAGCAAGGUAAUUCCAUUACGGACUGACGUUUAGCAGUUAAAUGCUUACUCCCUUGGUGUACAUAUAAUUUCUGCAUGAUAAAUUUUUCUGCAAAAGGGACGGUCCAUACUGCCAUCCGAACCAGAAAUUAGCGCAUAGAAAAUAUAUAUGUUCAACACUACAAAGGAGUUUUGCUAACUUCAUACAUAUAUAUACAUCAACUGUAUCAGGCAUCGGUUUCUAAUAUCUCAAACUCAAAUACACUCGUCCAAAUUUAUUCUUGAGAUAGGUCCUUAAUUAAGAUCAUGAACAAGGCCUAAAAUACUAACGUUGCUGCACCAGAUCUGAAUGCCCCAAAUAUUAUUGUAGAUGGCGACGGUGGCGUUCCUUGUGCGGACGCAUGUGCACUCCAUCUAGUUUGUCAAAAUACAUGUAUACAUCCAGUGCAAUGUUUUGCUUAAUGAUCAAUAUUCAAUAGUACCUGCUUUAAAUCAUCCGCCAUAAGAACAAAUGCUUCAACAUUUGUAAGAGCUUGAAUUGUUUUAGUUGAUAUAGGAAGGUUGGAUGAGUCGCGGUCAGCCUUCGCCCAAGCAAUGAGUUCUUCUCCAGAAAAGUCACCAUCUUCCAGAUGGUUGUUCAGGUUACCAGAAUUGCUUGAGAAUCCAGUUAUGCUCCUGGAAGUGUAGGUCCUUGACUUGCCUUGCAGCACGAAGAGCAUUUGAUCAAUUGGGUUUCCCUCCCGGAGAAUGUAAGAGCGCUCUGUGAAGACAACCGGCUUCACAACAUCACACAAUCUCUCCAACGAUGAAUCACUCCAGUUUCCAAACUCUUCUACCUAUACAAACAUACAUCCAAUAUCGUUACUAUAAUCUAAAAGGCAUGAUGCUGAUAAUGAAAUUCAGCUUCUGAAUGAAGAAAAUUGAAAAUAAAACUUCAUCUAGAACUAUCUCAGCUGAAAUGAGAUUCAUUCCCUAACACUAAAACAUAUCAGGUUUGAGUUCACGUUGAGGUGAUGUGGACUUUAGCGAUUGCGCUUUCAAAACUAUGCAAAAUAUUUUUAUUAGUUCUCCUUUGUCAAUUUCACAAAUUAACGAAUAGCAGACACAAAUAUAGUUGUAAAGAUUUCUCACUCACUUUUUUUAGCAAGUCUAAGCAGAGCUUCUGUUUUAUGUUAUUUCUGAGGUGCCUUGGAAGAUGAUUCACCACAUACUCUACGUCAACACCCGUGGUUUGCAAUUUCGAUUUCUGAUAUUCCUUGAUCUCCUUUUGGAGUUUCUUAGGGAGCUUUCCAAAGGGCAGCCACCGGUCUAUUUCUCGUACCUUCUGUCUUAUCUCAUAUACUUUUGACGUUUCAGACUGCACAUUGCCCAAGAAUCAUGGUUCAUAGAAAAGUAAAAUUUAUUGCGCUUCCUCUUAAUCAAGCAUAAAAACCAAUUUUGAGAGACAAGAUGCAGAUGAUUAAAAGAAAAAAAUGAAAAAAAUAAGGUACACCAACCUGAACCUUUCCAAUCAAAAGGAAAAACAACACUACCCCAGUGAUGGUAAUUGAAAUUACAAAGAUGUUUUCCAAGACAUUGGUACUUAACGGGAGACCUUGACCAAAACAACUGCAAAAGUCAAACCCACAAAUGUGUUAGAACCAAUGUUUUGAGCUUAAUUGAUAAAAAACACAAACAUACGUAUGCUUUAAUAUAUGCACAAAAAACAAAGAAAGGCGUACACAAAAAGAUUGUUAAGAGAAGAAUGAUGUAUAUUCACAACUUAACCUGAGAGUUUGCAGGCUCCAUUGAAAACAAGGAAAGUACCUCCGAAAAAAAUUGUUUUGAUCCAAAACACCAGAUUGAAUAGCAUCACGGAAUAUCCCAAAAUCAUAGAUAGUUGCAUUUUGAGUCUUUGUAGAGCAAAAAUCACUAGAAAAUGUGUAGUUUGUUAAACUGUCAUCACAGUGUAAAGGAAGGAGGCCACAUCUGGUAAAAUCUGUGCAGGCUUUCUUCCAACAUUCAGCCUUUCUUUGUACGGCGAAAAAGUACCAUAAUGAUCCAAACACCUAAAGAACCAUCAAGUAGAUCCCGGGAACUAUAAAUUACCCAAAAAAACAGUAAAGAGAAAUAGAACAUUUUGGAGAGUUGAGAGGCAAGUAAACUUACAUUAGCAGCAUGUAGGUAACCGAAAUUGAACGUCAGAUUGGCCCAUUUAUUAAGGUUAUAUGAAUUCUUCCAUUCUGUAAUCAAUUUAGCCAAUCGGAUAACCUUUAACCCAUGUUGUACAAGAAACAGGUUCAUCAGAGAGAAAAAUUCCUGGCCACUAAUUCUUUGACUAUAAGCUAGAAGCACCAACACCUGAAUAGUUUGUAGGAACUCCAAAAACAGUUAUUUCUCUUACUUCACCCUGCGGAAUACACAGAAAUGGAACUCCACAGACAUUUAUUUCUCUUACUCCUCUCAUGAUCCUACUGGUCCUGUUCAUUUCAACGCCAGAAACCAGUCUCGACGUUCCUUCCUCUAAAUUCAUUCAAGUCUUGAGACCUUGGAAAAACAAAAAAAUCAUCUUCAUCAUGGUCACAUAUACAAUAAUUGUAAUAAUAUAUAGCCUGAUCAUAAGUUCAGUAGGACUCUAUAAGUAUAUCAUCAAAUUAAUAAACAAGUCACUUACGAAGGAAAAUUAAAGUAAAUGAAGCAAAGCUUAAAUUCAGUUUCCUUCAAUUAAAUACAGGUGGAUCCUUCACGAAUCAGCACUUCAGUGGCUCAGUCUUCGGUGGAUGCUUAUGUUAUGUGUUAAUAAAUAUCAGAGGCACGACCCAAAGACUUCGAUUUUUCAAGUCAACCAGGAACACAUAAUUAUUGUUUGGGGUCCGCUUAUAAUAUUUUCAGGCUAGCUCUGUAGCUCAAGCAUGAAAAACGGGGAAAGUAAAGUGCAAGAAAAUUCCAGAUUCUUUUUUCAAUUGUUCUUUAUACUGUGUAGCUAAUGUACAAAAGUGAAAAUGAAUCUUUGCUUGCAUUUUUUUAAAUUAGCGGCAUAAAAAGAAUGGAGUGAAAAGUACAGAGACCUUGAAUGAUCAUUGAAAGCCAUUAAAGAAUGUAGACAAAAGUUAAUUGCAUUAGAAAGUACUAAUAAUGAAUUAUUUAGACAAAAUAUAGUAUUGCAAAAUCAAUGUCAGAUUUUAUUACUUAUCAGUUAUCACCAGAAAACUCAAAACACUUCAACAAAAGCUAGCACUAGAAGAAAUAUUUAACCAUUCCCCAGUAGGACAAUUAAUAAAAAUUCAAAAAAUUUCUUCCCUCAUUGGUGAUAGUAUAGACAUUGUAAAAAAAAUUUUAUUUCAGUAGCCAAUCAAAUAUUCUAUAGCAUAUUAAAUUUCUUAGAAUUGUUAAAUUACAAUAAGAAAUUUAUGCCAAAAUCUUAGUACAUUAAUAAGACCAUUAUAUAAUAAAUUAAGUAAAAAUGGACAAAAGUAUUUUAAAUUUUAUAGUGAAGAUAUUAAAUUAAUACAAAAACUUAAAGAAAUAGGAAUUUUUUUAAUCUACAUCAUCAUAUGUUAAUUCCUCAUUAUUACAUAAUUCUUCAAAUAAUUCUUCAUCUAAACAUUUUUAGGAUUAUUAAAUAUUAAUUCUAUAAUCUUAUCUCUAAUAUUAUGUAGAGUUUUCUCUUUAUCUGUAUUUAAAUUUUUUACUAUAGCAUAAAAAGAAUGGAGUGAAAAGUACAGAGACCUUGAAUGAUCAUUGAAAGCCAUUAAAGAAUGUAGACAAAAGUUAAUUGCAUUAGAAAGUACUAAUAAUGAAUUAUUUAGACAAAAUAUAGUAUUGCAAAAUCAAUGUCAGAUUUUAUUACUUAUCAGUUAUCACCAGAAAACUCAAAACACUUCAACAAAAGCUAGCACUAGAAGAAAUAUUUAACCAUUCCCCAGUAGGACAAUUAAUAAAAAUUCAAAAAAUUUCUUCCCUUAUUGGUGAUAGUAUAGACAUUGUAAAAAAAAAAAUUAUAAAAAUUUUUAGCAAGAUUUUAUUUCAGUAGCCAAUCAAAUAUUCUAUAGCAUAUUAAAUUUCUUAGAAUUGUUAAAUUACAAUAAGAAAUUUAUGCCAAAAUCUUAGUACAUUAAUAAGACCAUUAUAUAAUAAAUUAAGUAAAAAUGGACAAAAGUAUUUUAAAUUUUAUAGUGAAUAUAUUAAAUUAAUACAAAAACUUAAAGAAAUAGGAUUUUUUUUUUCUCUACAUCAUCAUAUGUUAAUUCCUCAUUAUUACAUAAUUCUUCAAAUAAUUCUUCAUCUAAACAUUUUUAGGAUUAUUAAAUAUUAAUUCUAUAAUCUUAUCUCUAAUAUUAUGUAGAGUUUUCUCUUUAUCUGUAUUUAAAUUUUUUACUAUAGCCAUAUUUAUUUCUAUUUCUUCUUCAUUUUCUUCUAAUUAUGGAUUACCUAUUUUUCUAUAAUUAUUAAACCUCUGUGUAACUUAAUUAUGUAAUUCUUAGUGCUUUCUAUCUUGCUAUCUAUUGCAUUUUCUUCCUCCGAUAGUGAGUCAAAAAAUGCAAUAUCUACUUCUUUUUCUAUUGCUAGUGAUUUCUUUUCGUAAGGCAAAAUAUGCAUCUCAAAUUUAGGUUGUACAAAUGUUGAUUUUUUAAAGAAAUUUAUCCCAUUAGUAGUUGUUAAUAUACUACUAUUAUCUUCUAAUAUAAAAUUUAAUCCUAAAAUAAACUUAUAUCCUACUUUUUUACAACAGAUAAAUGUUUGAGGAACUCUAUUAACGGUUUCUCUAAACUCAUUCAUUUACUGUUAAUUUUAUUAAAUUUAAUUGUAUUUGUAAAUCUCUUUGUGUAUUUUUAAUAUUUUUUAUUUCAACUUUUAAAACUUCUACAAGACUUUUGAUUUAUAAUUCUACUAGUUUAGGUGCUUUUAUGUCUAAUAAUUUUAUUAAUUCUAUUAUUUCUUUUUUAUUACGGAACCUUGUAAUUUGACUAUUAAAAUCAGCUAAUGACUCUUUAAUAUAGUCUAAAUUCUUUCUUCGUGUAUUUUAUGUUACUUGCUUCAAAAAAUUGUCCUAACCGUAAUACUAGUUCUUUAAGCUUUUCUAGUUUAACUUCUAAGUGCUGUCCAAGAUUAAUUAUUAAGUCUAUUGUUGACCAUUACUCGUAUAUGGAAUAUGUUUAUAUUGAUUUUCUAAAUGCUCUAUAUUAUGAUUAAGUUUAAUUUUAUUUUCCUAUGACUACUAAUUUGUAAAUCCAAAUAUGCUAGUUUUUGAAAAUUCAUAAACUAAUUCUUUAACUAUUCUAGUUUAUUUCUAAUUUUAAAAAUUACAUUUUCAUAAUGAUCUAAUAAAUUUAGUUGUCUAUUGUAACUAUAUUUUACUAUAGAUAAGUGUGUAAGAGUGUAAUAUCUAACACUGACUUUUUUUUUUUUUAAUCAUUAUAGGGUCUAAUGGAUUUUUUUUUUAAUCAUUAUAGGGUCUAAUGGAGAUGUGUAAUCUACUAGAAGUUUAUUAUUUUCUAAUCUUUUUUCUAUUAAAUUAUUUAAUAUAGAGUGUUCUGCACUAAUUUCUACUUUUUUCUAGCUCUACAAUUUUUAAAGCAAUUUCUAAUUUUUCGGUAAAAGGAUUAAUCACAAAUACCCACAGCCAAAUUUGCUUUUGAAAGACUUGGAUUUUGCAGUCUUAUGUGUGACAUUUGUGCUGUGUUAUCUAUGGCCGCAUCCAAUCAUAUCUUACUAAAUUUUUGUACCGCGCUACCUAAAAUUUUCCCACUACCGGUAAUUUGAUAAGAGUCUUUGUCUUCUUCAGUCAGGCACGAAAAAAAAAAUGUUGGUUCAGAUCUAACUAUUCAAUCAAGAGCUAGCUCAGGACAAAAAGAAGUGUGCAAUUAGGGGACGAUACCGUAGACAGACAAUAGACAAAUUUUUCUUUGAAUGGUUUACUUUUGACUAAAUGAUCGGUGAUCCAACACCACUGAUCGUUUUUCAAAGGGACCCAUGUUAUGGAUGAAAAUUGAUAAAACUUGAACCCUAUUUUUUUUUCCCCCUCUCCGUUGUGUGAAUCAACCUUGGUUAAUUAAACUCACCGAAAUUGGAGGGGGAAAAAAUCUUGAAAAUACAUAAUAAUCUGCUCCAUUUCUACUUAAAAACUUUCUCUUUUAUGCAUCAUACUGGCCUUAAAUUCUUGCAGCAGAAAGCAAAACGCAGGGACCAUAAAGCCAUCAAUAGUUCUCUAAAUUUCCAAAUAUAUGCAACAACAAUAGUCAGUACACAAACUACUUUCAGGAGAUUUAUUUAACAACUUAGAAACGAGAUGUAAUUUGUAUUUAAAAUAUAAAUCAAUGACUAUAAGCUUAUUAUAACAAGCAUAGGAUGUGACCAGCCUAUUUUUCUUUAGCAAUAAAAUGAGGUUCCACAAGCUGCCUGGACAUAGGGUGUGUUUGGGAGAGCAGCUGCCUAUAUUCUAGGAGGAUAUGCCAGUGCGGCUGCCUCAAACGUAGGGAUGACAAAUAUUCAAUUAUGGAUGGAUAAUAUCCAUCCAAACACAAAUCCAUAAUUAUCCAUAAUGGAUAUAUCCAAAUCCAUACACAAUAUUUAAUAUUGGACAUGUAUAUGGAUUUUAUCCAUAUAACUAUGGAGAUCCAUGGAUAUCCAUGGAUAUUUUAUUUUUAUUAUAUAAAAAUAAUAAUCUAAAAUAGUUAAAAUUUCAAUAUUAAAUUUGGUUAUUAAACUAUUUAUAUUACUAAUAAUAUAUAUAUAUAUAUAAUAAAAUGGAGGUCCGGCGACGGUUCGGCGAUGUCCGACGGUGGUCCGGCAACUUUCCGGCGAAUUCAGGCGGAGCUCCGGCAACUUUCCGGCGAAUUCCUGCGGAGGUCUAGCGAAAUUCCGGCGAGGUCCGGUGGUGGUCCAAUGACUUUCCGGUGGAUGUCCAUUUAUAAUAUUAAAUUAAUAAAAUAAAAUAAUAAUUAUUAAUAGUCUGCUGUAUUUUUAUAAUUGUUUGUUUAUUAUAUUUUUUAUUUUUUAUUUUAUAAAAUUAAAAUUUUUUAAACUUGUUUUGAGUUAAACGGAUAUCCAUUGGGUAAAUAUAAUUAUCUAUAUCCAUCCAUAUUCAUCUGGAUAUAAUUUUAAAAUAUCCAUUUCAAAAUCCAAAAUUUUUUGGAUGGAUAUUAUCCGAUCCAAUUGGAUGGAUAUUGUGGAUAUCCAUUAUGAAGCGAUCCAGUUGCCAUCCCUACUCAAAUGCACACAUAAUUGUGGGGCGCUCUGUCUAGACGUUUCUGUAUUCCUUGUAGAAUGAGAGAAAGUUCCUUUCACAGCGGCCAUGAGCAAUUUUAUGAAUGAAGUUGCCUGGAUGAAUAGAGCUGCCCUACUAGGCUUAAUGAGUGACAUUUUUCAAGUCAUCAGCCAUAGACAAAAGGCUUCAACUUUAUGCUUGAAAAGCUCUGGUUGAGAUGGCACGCUGAAGUAUUGUUGGCUUGCUCUUACUAUCUGUCCAUGGCUACCAGAAAAUGAGAAAAUUCUUUUUACAAUGUCCUGGAAUAAUUUUAAAAAUCGAGCUGCUUUAAUGAAUGGAGCUACUCGUUUCUGCUCAAAGAGUAAUAAAUCAUCGGCUGUGAGAACAAAGGCUAUAAUAAAUCAUCAACUUUUGUAAGCGCUUGAAUGGUUCCUGUUGAGGUAGGGAGGUCAGAUGAAAAAUGGUCAAUUCUCCAACUCCAAGUCAACGAAUAUGCGUCUCCUAAUGAUUCAUAGCAAUCGUCACAUGAUUUCUUGACGAGCGAGAUAUACUGCUUCCCAUGUUAUAGUUUAUAGGGUGAUUAUGAUAUAUGUAGACCAGGGGUUACGCCUUGACCUUGACCUUGGAUACUUUGUUGAUGAUUUAAUUCUAGCAAUGUCUGAUGGGUCUCAUUUGACAAUUAAUAACAAUCCUGCUACCAGAUACCUGCUCAUCAUGGCUGGUCUUGUGGAGGUAUUACCCCCAAAC
rnacentral:lncRNA from 1 species